rnacentral:misc_RNA from 1 species
UCCUGGUUAACCCAGGCAGUCUCACUAGAGUUCCCACCAUAACAUGUUGGCAACUAAUGAUAAGGGUUGCGCUCGUUGCGGGACUUAACCCAACACCUCACGGCACGAGCUGACGACAGCCAUGCAGCACCUGUGCAGAAGCCCCGAAGGGAGGGCCUAUCUCUAGGCCUGUCCUCUGCAUGUCAAGUCUGGGUAAGGUUCUUCGCGUUGCAUCGAAUUAAACCACAUGCUCCACUGCUUGUGCGGGUCCCCGUCAAUUCUUUUGAGUUUCAGCCUUGCGACUGUACUCCCCAGGCGGUAUACUUAACGCGUUCGCUACGGCACAGCCGGGGUUGAGUCCAGCUACACCUAGUAUACAUCGUUUAGGGCAAGGACUAC